rnacentral:rRNA from 1 species
AGAGUUUGAUCCUGGCUCAGGAUGAACGCUGGCGGCGUGCCUAAUACAUGCAAGUCGAACGGGAAGCGAUACUUGUAUCGCGGAGAGUGGCGGACGGGUGAGUAACACGUAGAUGACCUGCCCCGGAGAGGGGGAUAACGCGCCGAAAGGCGCGCUAAUACCCCAUAAGCUCACGAUGAUCAGAAGAUGGUGAGAAAAGGAAUUUUGCUCUGGGAGGGGUCUGCGGCCCAUCAGGUAGUUGGUAGGGUAACGGCCUACCAAGCCAAUGACGGGUAGGGGGCCUGAGAGGGUGGUCCCCCACACGGGCACUGAGAGACGGGCCCGACUCCUACGGGAGGCAGCAGUAAGGGAUAUUGCACAAUGGGCGCAAGCCUGAUGCAGCAACGCCGCGUGCCUGAGGAAGGCCUUCGGGUCGUAAAGGGCUUUUCUGGCUGAAGAGGAAGGACUGUAGGCCAGGAAGAAGUGUCGGCUAACUACGUGCCAGCAGCCGCGGUAAAACGUAGGACGCGAGCGUUAUCCGGAGUUACUGGGCGUAAAGGGCGGGCAGGCGGUCGGACAAGUUGGCGGUGAAAGCGCCCGGCUCAACCGGGCGAGGCCCGUCGAAACUGUCGGACUGGAGGGCAGAGGAGGCGCGUGGAAUUCCCGGCGGAGUGGUGAAAUGCGUAGAGAUCGGGAGGAACACCAGAGGCGAAGGCGGCGCGCUGAGCUGCACCUGACGCUGAACCGCGAAAGCCAGGGGAGCGAACGGGAUUAGACACCCCGGUAGUCCUGGCCGUAAACGAUGUCCACUGGGUGUAUGCCCCGAAGGGGGUGUGCGCCGGAGCUAACGCGCUAAGUGGACCGCCUGGGGAGUACGGUCGCAAGGCUAAAACUCAAAGGAAUUGACGG